rnacentral:rRNA from 1 species
AUACGGAGGGGGCUAGCGUUGUUCGGAAUUACUGGGCGUAAAGCGCGUGUAGGCGGAUCGUUAAGUCAGGGGUGAAAGCCCGGGGCUCAACCCCGGAACUGCCCUUGAUACUGGCGAUCUAGAGUCCGGAAGAGGUGGGCGGAAUUCCCGGUGUAGAGGUGAAAUUCGUAGAUAUCGGGAGGAACACCAGUGGCGAAGGCGGCUCACUGGUCCGGUACUGACGCUGUGACGCGAAAGCGUGGGGAGCAAACAGGAUUAGAAACCCUAGUAGUCC